rnacentral:rRNA from 1 species
ACGCACGCUGGCGGCGUGCUUCACACCUGCAAGUCGCACGGUAAGGCCCCAGCUUGCUGGGGUACACGAGUGGCGAACGGGUGAGUAACACGUGGGUGACCUGCCCCGCACUUCGGGAUAAGCCUGGGAAACUGGGUCUAAUACCGGAUAGGACCGCACCGUGAGGGUGUGGUGGAAAGUUUUUCGGUGUGGGAUGGGCCCGCGGCCUAUCAGCUUGUUGGUGGGGUAAUGGCCUACCAAGGCGGCGACGGGUAGCCGGCCUGAGAGGGUGGACGGCCACAUUGGGACUGAGACACGGCCCAGACUCCUACGGGAGGCAGCAGUGGGGAAUAUUGCACAAUGGGCGGAAGCCUGAUGCAGCGACGCCGCGUGGGGGAUGACGGCCUUCGGGUUGUAAACUCCUUUCACCAUCGACGAAGGUUUUCUGACGGUAGAUGGAGAAGAAGCACCGGCUAACUACGUG